UCCACAAAAAAUGCUUGGCAAGAAAAUUCUUUUCCAGAAAAUGUAUCAAAUUCAAUCUGAAUGAAUUUCAGACGAUUUUACUCUUGACCUGACAUCCAGUAGUAGCCCAAAGAUUAGGUUUCUGAGUAAAACAUAAAGCAAGUGCUCCCUAUCCCUGCAUAAUUCCCAGUCUGCCUUUUGCUGUCAUUUCUUUGUCCGGUGUUUGAAUAUGUUGUCCUGGUAAAAUUUAAGUUCUGCUAUGCUCUCCUUAGUGUCAUCCAUGGCCCUGUGCUUGUUUAUCUUCUGAGGUGCUUUUUGGUUAUCUAUGAAGAAGUACGACAAUAUAAAACAUUCACAUCUAAGGAAACCACAAUUACAUUGAAAUUUGAAUCAGAAACACAGCAGCAGCAUUUUAUCACAUAGCUAGGUCAAAUAUGAUCUUAAAUAAAACUAUCACCUCUCGGAUACCAGAGGAUGCAUAACGCCUUAACACUGCUCACGUCCACAAGUACACGAGGGACAAGACUGGCCAAUCUAGGCAUACACAUAUGCAUAUAGAAAAUCAUCAGAUGAUUGCUGUGAAUGAAUCACGGCGAGAUAGAUGAAGGAAAAAGGGUUGUAAUUCAGUUUUUAAAAGAAACACAGAUUGGAUGUACAUAUAUAUAUAUGCAAUUAAUUUAGAGGGUAAUAUGUUUCUCAUUUUUCUCAAAAGAUGAUUAAUGUUUUUCUUUUUCCUCAGUAGAUACCCAUGACAGAAGAUAUUCAUCGGAUAAUAUUGACCGCAAAUAGCAGAAAUUUCCUUGGGAACCCGACAAUAACAAUUAUAAAGGUGAAUUAUUAAGAGACCAAUAAUGCUUGAAUUAUGAAAAUAUCACAUUCAGUUAUCAACAUAGUCUGCAAGCUAGCUUAAAUCCAAAAGAAUAUGAAAGUAGCCUAUUAGUGAAUUUGUUUAUAAGUCUCUGACAGAUAUGUCUUAAAGUUAAUGCGAUGUAAGCAUUCAACUACCAUGCACUUACACUACAUCAAUGCAUUGAUUAGACGAGUGUAGAGGUCUUUAAAGGUCUAGACUCUAAAGAACUAAGUGUGUGCCUUUGAGUGGAGAGGGCUUUCUUGUUUUCUUUAAUUAGUAGAUGAAACUCAAAGCCCAAACAAAAAAUUUCAUAAUCAACCAGCAAAAAUAUAUUUUAAACUAACACGUGUGUGUGUGCGCGCGCAUCUACACUUCACUAUUUUGUACCUUCAGAAAUAAAAGAUCCAUGUAGACUGAAUUAUCAGCAAGAAGGGGUGUAUGUAUGCCCCAGUGUCUCUUCACAAAUUGCAAAACCUACAAGUUCUCUAAUCAUGAUAAGGGAAAUGUUCAUACAAGAUUAAUCUACAAAAUUACAGGAAAAACUAUGUACCAUUAAAGUGCUAGAGCAUAUUAUAACCCCAUCACUAAAAAUUAAGAAUUCAAGGAGUAUAACAUACUGCCACAUUCAUAUGUACAUUGUCAACGCCUUGUGGAACCCAGAAGUAGUAUUUCGCUUUUAUGAUGAUACGUCACAUUUUUUCCACAUACUUUUGUUCUUGCCUACAAAACUAUAUUUCCAUACUGUUUGAGGAAUAAAUAACUGAUGCACACAUAUCUGAAAAUAUAUACUGCAUCAAACAUGUGUGUACAUGCAGAACUAUAGCUUCCUCUUCACAAAUCCUAAAAAAUGUAUCACCUGUGCUUCAGCUUCCUCUUCGCCAAGCUUGCUUUGGAGUACUCUCUUCUCCACACUUCUCGAUGUGGGACUGGGGUGUUACACUCUUUGUCAAACCUACAUACAAUAUGGGAGUAGGACACUGAAAAGCUGUUAUUAGAGAUGCAUCCACUUGAGGGUUAUAGGAUUGAAUUUAAUAAAACUCUAUAACAUUUGUUUGCAUGUAUAACAACGUCUGUAAGCACAUUAUAUAACAAAUAACACUAUAUACUAGGAACAGAAGGGGCGCCAACAAAACUGUCUUCUUACCGCUUUCUCCAUGGUGACUCUGACACCAGUCUCCCAUUUGUCUAGACAUACCUUAGUUUGAUGGAUCACUAUAUUAGACCCUAAAAGGACAUAAACCAAUGAACUAAAUGAAACUAGAAAAAAAAAAAAACGAAUAAUAUAUUGAGAACAAGGGAACAUUGCAUCUGAUAAAGUCAAUUUAACGAAUAAUAUAUUGAGAACAAGGGAACAUUGCAUCUGAUAAAGUCAAUUUAAAAAAAUUAUAUGCGGAAGAUAACACCUAUUAGAGCAAGGAAUCUGAAAACUGAAGUUUUCAAACCAUACUACUGGCUUAAGUGUUUCAGUGGUAGAAUAGCCGAUCUAGGUCGCACGCAUUAAUUUGUUCACAACUAUAUCUAUCAAACCCUCUUCUUCCUUCCCUGUGUCAAUAAUAUUAUUGCCCCUUUCGGGUAAUAUACAUAUAAAAUAAACUGUAGAAGAUUCCUACGAAUUGUUCAAGUGAUGUUACAUAUAAGAAGAAAGUAAGGAACAGUUAAAGCUAUGUUUAAAGAGCUACUAGGAAGUUGAAUGAGUUGAACUGGAAAGAAAGAGCUACUAAUAUAGGUACCUACUUCAACUUUCAGCUGGUUUGUUAUGUAACCCAAAGAGCUCUAGAUCCAAUUCAUAUAAAGCUUAGAAUAUGUAGAAAAUAGUAGUAACUAGGAUUAGACACUUUAAUUUACAUGAAUGGAGAUAUUGUAGAAUAUCGCAGAGCUAAAGAAAAUAAAGAAGAUGCUAGUAUUGGGAUAGUAUAAAACCUAGUUAGGAGUGAAUAAUCAUAUAUAUGUAGUAGAAUCUAAUUACCUCAAUUGAUUUGGUCAAGUUUCCAUCCGUAAUUAUACAUGCGAUCUCCUGUAUUCUACUCACUUCUACACCCAGACCUACAUCAGUGACACAUUGGAAAAAUUAUAUUGACCACGUCUCAGAUCACAAAAGCCAGCUAAAUUAACCUUGUCCAACUCCUCUCAUUAAGUAGGAUAUACACAUGUCAUGGAUAAAUAUUAAAGGAAGAUGCUCUUACAAACUUUGCGGGUAGGAUUUGAAGAAUGAGCAUAAAACUAUUACUCUUAGGCCUUAGCUAAUAACAAAUAACAUAUGGAGGAUAAAGAUGGAACCAAAAGGGAGAUCUUUCAGAUUGAGCAGAAACAAAAUACGAUAUUGAAUUUCCACUAGCCUAACAAAAUGUCGCCGACUUAGGUAAAGGACGAGAAAAGCUAAAAGGUUCACUUAUCCUUUAAAAAUAGAAUUCGGACUUUAUGUGGUCACUGCUUUUAUGGGAAAUGUAGUAAUUAUAACUGAACAAACAAAUGAAGAGCAGCAAGGCAACAAGGCCAGAUAAAACAAAACUUGAGAAAGGAAUCAAAGAAGAUCGCUGUAGUGGAGUGAGCAGCUACAUAGUUGCUUAUUAAUACAGAUAUGAUCAAGGAAUCAACUACUCUUUCUAAAACCUAAGUAUAAAAAUUCUAAGUCUUCUCAAUGACUUGCAAACAUUAGCUAAAUGUAACAUUUAAGUGAUACCAAAGCCUGUCUGCAAAGAAAUGAACACCCUAAGGAAUAACAGCAUAGUGAUCCAUAUGUAUACAAUCAAAAGUAUUGUUUGGCAGUCGAUCCAAAAUUUCCCUAUCAGAAGAACUUGAACAAUAGUCCAGACUAUAAAAAUUCAAAAUAAAAAGAAACAUAUAGGUACCUGUCAUCUCCAAGUCUAUCCAAACAAGAGGUAGUUUUUACUCUUCAGAAGUGAAUUUAGGGUUUGAUCACUGAUAAUAGCGAGUGAUAAAUCUUUUUAUUACUCUCCUUGCCUUUAAUUCAUUUCUUUUACGAUUUUUUUUUAUUGUUCAACACAUAUUUUAAGAUGCAUAUAAAAUAUAGUUUCAUCAUUCUUUUUAAAAAAAAUUAUAUAAAUUUUAGAUAAUAAAUAUUUAUUUAGAAGAAAAAAAUUCAAAAUAAUUUAACAAAAUAUAAUUUUUUAAGAGUAUUAGAAUGAGUGCCGAGUCCCCAUCCCUCAAUGUAAACAAUUGAGGGGACGGAGGGAGUAUCAGUUAACCCAAAAUAUUAAAGAAUUUGAUCAGCACAAUCGGUUUGUAUUUAAAUUGAAUUUAAAAUACAAAAGAUAAAAUUAUAUAAAUCAUCCGUACAUAAUCUAAUUAUAUUAAUACAUAAUACUUUAAAUGUCACUGUUUAAAAAUAAAGCCCUUGCUAUCAAUUCAAAACACAACUUCUAAGUUAUGUUUUUUUAAAUCAAGAACAUAAUAUUGUGUUACGUUUUCUCCAAAAUGAAAAGAAUUAAGUUACAUUUUGAGGAGGAGAAAUACAGCUUUAAGUUGUGUUUAUCUCCAUCCAAAAGAUGUGGUCAUGUAUAUGUGAAUUUCUCCCUAACAGAUUAUUUUCCUGUGCGGAAAUGCUAAUCCAAUGUUCAUGGGAAAAGCAGCAGAUAUGACCAACAAUAAUUAUUCCCCUGCAUUCCCUUUCAUAACUUCAGCAGAAGAUUGUAGUACUGCGACUACAAGUGCUAAUAUUUAUCCACAAAAAAUGCUUGGCAAGAAAAUUCUUUUCCAGAAAAUGUAUCAAAUUCAAUCUGAAUGAAUUUCAGACGAUUUUACUCUUGACCUGACAUCCAGUAGUAGCCCAAAGAUUAGGUUUCUGAGUAAAACAUAAAGCAAGUGCUCCCUAUCCCUGCAUAAUUCCCAGUCUGCCUUUUGCUGUCAUUUCUUUGUCCGGUGUUUGAAUAUGUUGUCCUGGUAAAAUUUAAGUUCUGCGCUAUGCUCUCCUUAAUGUCAUCCAUGGCCCUGUGCUUGUUUAUCUUCUGAGGUGCUUUUUGGUUAUCU
rnacentral:lncRNA from 1 species